UACGUAGGGGGCAAGCGUUGUCCGGAUUUAUUGGGCGUAAAGCGCGCGCAGGCGGUCUUCUACGUCUGGGGUGAAAACCCGGGGCUCAACCCCGGGACUGCCUUGGAUACGGGAAGACUUGAGGAUCGGAGAGGCAAGGGGAAUUCCACGUGUAGCGGUGAAAUGCGUAGAGAUGUGGAGGAACACCUGUGGCGAAGGCGCCUUGCUGGCCGAUUUCUGACGCUGAGGCGCGAAAGCGUGGGGAGCAAACAGG
rnacentral:rRNA from 1 species